rnacentral:rRNA from 1 species
GCCCAUCAGGUCAAGCUGGGCACUCUGAAGAGACUGCCGGUGACAAACCGGAGGAAGGUGGGGAUGACGUCAAGUCAGCAUGGCCUUUAUGUCUGGGGCCACACACGUGCUACAAUGGCAGGUACAAACCGUCGCGAGACCGCAAGGUGGAGCUAAUCGGAUAAAGCCUGUCUCAGUUCGGAUUGUCGGCUGCAACUCGCCGGCAUGAAGUUGGAAUCGCUAGUAAUCGCGGAUCAGCACGCCGCGGUGAAUACGUUCCCGGGCCUUGUACACACCGCCCGUCACAUCACGAAAGCUGGCUGUACUAGAAGUCGCUGCGCUAACCCGCAAGGGAGGCAGGUGCCUAAGGUAU